rnacentral:rRNA from 1 species
UACGAAGGGGGCUAGCGUUGCUCGGAAUCACUGGGCGUAAAGCGCACGUAGGCGGCUUACUAAGUCAGGGGUGAAAUCCUGGAGCUCAACUCCAGAACUGCCUUUGAUACUGGUGAGCUUGAGUCCGGAAGAGGUGAGUGGAAUUGCGAGUGUAGAGGUGAAAUUCGUAGAUAUUCGCAAGAACACCAGUGGCGAAGGCGGCUCACUGGUCCGGUACUGACGCUGAGGUGCGAAAGCGUGGGGAGCAAACAGG